rnacentral:rRNA from 1 species
UACGUAGGGUGCAAGCGUUGUCCGGAAUUAUUGGGCGUAAAGAGCUCGUAGGCGGUUUGUUGCGUCGGCUGUGAAAUCCCGAGGCUCAACCUCGGGUCUGCAGUCGAUACGAGCAAACUAGAGUGUUGCAGGGGAGACUGGAAUUCCUGGUGUAGCGGUGAAAUGCGCAGAUAUCAGGAGGAACACCGGUGGCGAAGGCGGGUCUCUGGACAUUUCCUGACGCUGAGGCACGAAAGCCAGGGGAGCAAACGGG